AUUGAACGCUGGCGGCAUGCCUUACACAUGCAAGUCGAACGGUAACGCGGGGCAACCUGGCGACGAGUGGCGAACGGGUGAGUAACGCAUCGGAACGUGCCCAAUAGUGGGGGAUAGCCCGGCGAAAGCCGGAUUAAUACCGCAUACGACCUACGGGUGAAAGCAGGGGAUCGCAAGAACCUGCGCUAAUGGAGCGGCCGAUGUCAGAUUAGGUUGUUGGUGGGGUAAAAGCCCACCAAGCAGACGAUCUGUAGCUGGUCUGAGAGGACGACCAGCCACACUGGGACUGAGACACGGCCCAGACUCCUACGGGAGGCAGCAGUGGGGAAUUUUGGACAAUGGGCGCAAGCCUGAUCCAGCCAUGCCGCGUGCGGGAUGAAGGCCUUCGGGUUGUAAACCGCUUUUGUUAGGGAAGAAAUCUUUUGAGCUAAUACCUCGGAAGGAUGACGGUACCUAAAGAAUAAGCACCGGCUAACUACGUGCCAGCAGCCGCGGUAA
rnacentral:rRNA from 1 species